UCCUGGCGACAAUAGCGGCUUGGAACCACCUGAUCCCAUCUCGAACUCAGAAGUGAAACGAGCAUGCGCCAAUGAUAGUGUGAGGUCUCCUC
rnacentral:rRNA from 1 species